CACCCAUCGUCCCAUCGACCCAUCCCAUCUCAAAAAGAAGGCUCGCAUCAUAACGCCCGCCAAAAAUGGCGGGCCUCGGCGGCGGAGGCUGGGGCGGCUACUACGACGAUGACGACUGGGACCUCAGCGCGGAGCAGCUGGACCAGAUCGAGCGGGACGCCAUCCGCCAGCUCGCCGAGCGGAAGGCCUCCUCCUCCGCGGCCUCCACCGCCCCCGUCCCCGCCCCCGCACUCGGGGCCGUCUCGCCGCUCCCCUCCCGCGCCACCGCGCCGGCGGCGGCCGCCUCGUCGCCUCUCGGGGGUAACCACCCCGCUGCCAGGGCCUCUUUGGAGGCCCGCUUCGGCAAGGUAGAAGCACUUUCUCCUAUGAGAAAUGCAGUGAAUAAUAGCCAGGGCAGUGCACCUAAGGUAUCUGUACAUCUUUUCCUCCAUUCUAGCGGUGUGAUUGCAGCAAAGUUCCCAUACCACCAGUUACUUGUGGAUGCAUGUCGCAAGAUCCCGAAAGCCAGCUGGAAUGCGAAAGAAAGGAUAUGGAUGUUCCCUCCCUCAUCUUUAUCAAUAGCAGAGGAGGUUCUUGAUUCAGUGCAUGGAUUAGCUGUAGAGGUUCGCAAAUUGGAUCCUCUAGUUCAGCGUGCUUUAGUGGCUGCUUUAGCCUCCAAAGAUCUUCGAGGUUUCUAUGACAGGAUUCCCCCUGAAGUUGAGUCAAAGCUUAUGCCAUUUCAGCGUGAAGGCAUCAGGUUUGUUUUACAGCACGGUGGCAGAGCCCUGAUUGCAGAUGAAAUGGGUCUUGGAAAGACAUUACAGGCAAUUGCUGUUGCUUCUUGCCUUCAUGAUGCCUGGCCAGUUCUUGUAAUCGCUCCAUCUUCCUUGCGAUUGCAGUGGGCAUCUAUGAUUCAGAGUUGGCUUAACAUCCCCAUGGAAGAUAUCUUGGUGGUAUUGCCACAAACUGGAGGAUCACAUAAGGCUGGAUUCAGAUUGGUUUACUCAAACACUAAAGGAGAUUUUCGCUUGGAUGGGGUUUUCAAUGUGAUAUCUUACGAUGUAGUUCCCAAAAUACAAAGCACACUUCUGGAUUUGGAUUUCAAGAUUGUUAUAGCUGAUGAAUCACAUUUUCUGAAGAAUGGCCAAGCGAAGAGAACGAUUGCUUCACUUCCUGUUCUGCAGAAAGCUCAAUAUGUCAUUUUGCUUAGCGGAACUCCUGCUUUGUCUCGCCCGAUUGAGCUGUUUACUCAGCUCCAGGCACUGUAUCCUACUGUGUACAAGAAUGUUAGCGAGUAUGGCAAUAGAUAUUGCAAGGGUGGCUUUUUCGGGGUGUAUCAAGGUGCUAGCAACCAUGAGGAGCUGCAUAAUCUGAUGAAAGCAACUGUCAUGAUCCGUAGGUUGAAAAAAGAUGUCCUUUCACAGUUGCCUGUUAAACGUAGACAACAGAUCUUUCUAGAUUUAAGUGAGAAAGAUGUGAAAUAUGUCCGUGCUCUGUUUCAUGAGUUGGAGACUCUGAAGAUCAAAAUCGAGUCCGCUGACUCCAAGGAGAUGAUUGACUCUCUCAAAUUUACUCAAAAGAACCUUAUCACUAAGCUCUACACUGAUUCAGCCACAGCCAAAAUUCCAGCUGUGUUGGAUUUCCUGGGCACUGUAAUUGAGGCAGAUUGCAAGUUCUUAAUAUUUGCUCAUCAUCAAAACAUGGUUGAGGCCAUCGAACAAUAUCUCUUGAAAAAGAAAGUGAAGUGUAUCAAAAUUGAUGGCCAGACGCCUGUAACUACAAGACAAACCUUAGUCACAGAUUUCCAAAAUAAGGAUGACAUCAGGGCAGCUGUGAACUGUAGUUAUCCAUCAGAGCUGGAGGCUACGGGUUAACUUUGACAGCAGCAAGUACAGUAAUCUUUGCUGAGUUAUCAUGGACUCCUGGCGACAUUAUUCAAGCUGAAGAUCGUGCCCACCGGAUCGGUCAAGUUUCAUCAGUCAACAUUUAUUACCUUCUCUCAAAUGACACUAUAGAUGAUCUUAUGUGGGACGCUGUUCAAGGCAAACUUGAAAAUCUGGGACAGAUGCUGGAUGGGCAGGAGAAUACGCUGGAUGUUUCCCAGAUCGACUCCAGGCCAAGCCCCUCAAAGCAGCAGAAGACGCUUGACGGCUUCCUCAAGCGGUGCAGCACCUCCACGGAGGGUCAGCCCAGCACGAAGCACCCUCGGUUCUGAGGGACCAUCGCGGAUCAAUGUGUCGCUGUGAACGCGUAGGAAUGGCUGUGCUGUAGGUUCUGUUUGGAUUACGGCUGAUGGUAGCCGUGGUUGCACCGGCAGGGUCGGUUGCAGUGUUGUUGUAUUUUGGCUCUUGGUUGGUUGUAAAUGCCAUGUGGAGUUCUUACAAAUAACUCGGGUUUGUAAAGUAGAUCAUCAAUGAUCCACAUGUUUGUUAUGCUGAUUGCAACGUGCCACCCGUUGCUUCUAUUCUAUUCGCAUCUGCUUGUGCUCUUCAAGCCCUGGCGAUUUGAUGGACCA